CCUUCCUCACCACCUCUUACCUGCCUUCCUCUGACCCCUCAGGUCCUUGUCUGCCUGCUCUGGAACUUAAACUAAACUUGCUGCUGCCUGCCUCCAAAUCCAGCUGAAGCCUGACAUGUAUCCUGGGAAGAUUUGGGGGGAAGGACCUAUAUCUGGCUGAAGCAUUUAAUAAAAAAGCCUUUGAUCUCAGAGGAAGUAAGAAUAAAUAUUUUAUGAUUCCUGAUACAGAAAGAAACCCUGAUCUAGCACAGUGGGGAUAAUUCACUUUGCACCAUCAAACAUUCCUGCGUGAGUAGUUGGAGAUCCGGAUGAGAAGAGGUUGCUAAAAGCCCCACACUCCCAUGGAGCUCAGAAUUAGCAUUAGUUUCAUGAUGAUGAAUUAAUGCUCCUCAGGCAUCUUCAUAGAUGGUGAACAAUGCACAAUUGACGAAGAUCGCACAGCAAGCUAUAGAAAAUGAUAUGAAACAAGAGCUUAAUUUCUGGAUGUAACCCAGGCUGCUUAGAAGAAUGUUGUCAUAGCCCAGAUCACAAGUGAUAGCCAGAUUCUGGAUGGAGGGAAGAGCCAGACAAGUCAUCAGCACCAACACC